rnacentral:lncRNA from 1 species
CUCGAGGAGGAGAUUGGUGGAAUGCAUCCUGACGGCGGCGGCGGCGGGCGGCGAAUCUUCCCUCUCUUCUUCUUGUGCUGCAAGGAAAAGGAGGCGGAGGCGGAGGCGGCGGUGGCAAAUGGCGGAGUGCGGUCCUCCUCGGCUACCCUGGGCUCGCUGGGUUAAGGGUUGAUUGGGCACAAAAGGAAUCUGCUUAAUAGGCCGGGCGGGCGACGUGUCCCUGCUUCUCGAGCGGCGAAGCGCCUGCCCCUGCCCCACGGCAUUUUCCAAUGGGCCCAGCUGCGGGAAUCGGGAACGCUGACACGCCGAUGGGUCCUGACCGGUCACCGGCGGCCGCCGCCGGUUUCCUGCCUCUGGGGUC